UCUCUUACAGGCAAUCGGUAAAUUGUCUCCCUGUGCAAAAGCAGGGAUAACCCCAUAAGACGAGAAGCCCUGUGGAACUUCAAAAACAGCAGCCACCCCUACAUACCUACUCACCCACCUGGGUUCACUUACCUAAAGGGCUACUGGCUUGCAUUUUUUCGGUUGGGGCGACCUUGGAGCAAAACAAAACCUCCAAAUAUUGGACCAUACAUCCAGACUAAGAGCUACCUCUCAACGUGCUAAUAGCAACCAGAUCCAAUAUAAUUGACCAAUGGACCAAGCUACCCCAGGGAUAACAGCGCAAUCUCCUUCGAGAGUCCAUAUCGACAAGGAGGUUUACGACCUCGAUGUUGGAUCAGACAUCCUAGUGGCUG
rnacentral:rRNA from 1 species